rnacentral:rRNA from 1 species
GGAUCAAUAUAUCGGUCGUGCUUCGGUAUGUACUGGUAUUAUUGAUUUCUCCCUUCUGACAAACUAUGAUGUCAUUAAUUUGGUGUUAUAGGGAAUUAGGACUGUUACUUUGAAAAAAUUAGAGUGUUUAAAGCAGGCACACGCUUGAAUACAUUAGCAUGGAAUAAUGAAAUAGGACGUUUGAUCUUAUUUUGUUGGUUUCUAGGAUUGACGUA